rnacentral:tRNA from 2 species
AGACUCGUAGCUCAGUGGGAGAGCACUACACUGACACUGUAGGGGUCGGCGGUUCAAUCCCGCCCGGGUCUACCA